GACCCAGGAUCACUGGAUCAUGAAGAAUCAUAUUGAGGCCAUCCAACUCUUCCUAACCUGUAUACUGCUUAGCUUCCUCCCAGCAGAUCAUCAGGUCCUGCACCUAAAGGAAAAUACCACCUCCAUUACCCUGGCAGCAGUGAGCCAGUUCAUGUUUGCCUUUGAGUAGACGGAUCCAGUGCCUGGUCAGCAAUAAGAACAAUCCUUAGAUGAUGCUGACAACUAAAGCCUGCCUUCAGAGACUGAGGAACUCUUACCUUCAUCUCUUAAGGUAAAACGUCCCAUCUGAGGGAAGUCCUUAAAGGUCUCCAGGCAGAUGGUUCCUGCUGUCCUUAAACGAGCAAUGCAUACUUGAUCUUGCUUUACAAAACGGGGUCGAGUCUUACUUUUUUCUCCUGAUUUUUUGUCUACCAAGCAGAUUAAGGCCUAGCCAAGAAUAAAAAAAGGACAAGAAAAAAAAUUAAAAUGUUAAAUGUAAGUAACUCUAAAAAUAUAAAAAAUGUAACCUGGACAUGAUACUGAAUACCUGUAAUCCUAAUACUUGAGAAGCUAAAGCAGGAAGAUGAGCUCCAAGCAAGUCUGAGCUACCAGUGGGACCCUGUCUCACAAUAACAAAGACAGACAACUUGGUAGCUCAGGUAAAAAAAAAAAAAAAGCACAUGCCACGUAAGUCUCUUGACCUGAGUUUGGUCACCAAAGUGGAAGAAAACAAAUGACUCCAAAAAGUUGUCCUC
rnacentral:lncRNA from 1 species